rnacentral:sRNA from 1 species
UCAUUUCAAUAAAAGCUAUGUAGAGUGA